CUGGCACCAUGCUCUAAUGUUUACGGUGAUGUAAUCCAGAAUCUGACCCAGAGGGAGAGGCUGCUGAAGAAGUUCAAACUCUACAACUGCAGCAGGACGUUUCUGAAUGGUGCUCCUGUGGAAACUGUGCAACCAUGCCCACAGAAGCUGAGAACAUCUGCUGCUAGGAGAUACCACAGGUUACCAGACGGCUGUGGGAGAUCAAGGAAGAUUUACCAUGUAUGGUAGACCGUCCUGGGUUGGAGCCGCUCUGCCUCAAUGUGUUCUCCCUCCAGAAUGCCUGCAACAUGUACCGCACUGACUACGGUACUUUACGGUUGAGAGGAAUACACCAGUACGUUUUGCUUCUUUGUAAAAACAUAGUUUCAAUCUAAAUAAAAGAUGUUAGGCAGUCUUGUUUUA